rnacentral:rRNA from 1 species
GAUGAACGCUGGCGGCGUGCUUAACACAUGCAAGUCGAACGGUGAAGGCGGAGCUUGCUCUGCUGGAUCAGUGGCGAACGGGUGAGUAACACGUGAGCAACCUGCCCUUGACUUUGGGAUAAGCGCUGGAAACGGCGUCUAAUACUGGAUACGAGCUGCGAAGGCAUCUUCAGCAGCUGGAAAGCACUUCGGUCAGGGAUGAGCUCGCGGCCUAUCAGCUUGUUGGUGAGGUAACGGCUCACCAAGGCGUCGACGGGUAGCCGGCCUGAGAGGGUGACCGGCCACACUGGGACUGAGACACGGCCCAGACUCCUACGGGAGGCAGCAGUGGGGAAUAUUGCACAAUGGGCGAAAGCCUGAUGCAGCAACGCCGCGUGAGGGACGACGGCCUUCGGGUUGUAAACCGCUUUUAGCAGGGAAGAAGCGAAAGUGACGGUACCUGCAGAAAAAGCGCCGGCUAACUACGUG